GCCACCUGCUUGGUCUCCCCGGUUCCCUAGGCCAAACUGAAUCAACUCCGGGCCUCCUUCCCCUCCCCCUCUGUGGCGCUAAGGGCUGGGAGGAGGAGAGUUCAAGGACCGCGGGACCCAGCCUGAGAUUCAGCGGGACCGGGGUCCCCACCGGGCUGAACCUGGAAACCCACCAGGAACAGAAAAAAGGCGCAGAUCCCUAGGCAUCAGGUUCUCCAGGUCCCGGUGCACAGACCUCAGGGGAGAGCAAACCUGGCUGCCCCUACCUCACAUCUAGCCCCACACCCGCAUUUUUACAGACAAGACAGCUGGACCAUGACAGGGAAAGACACGCCCCCCCCCAGGGAACUUGUGAGCACCCCCAGGCAGAGGUUCCUGUCUGCUCCACGCGCGUCCUGCUGCUCAGUAGGACAUUUGUCUCAAGAAAGUCAGAGGACCACCAUCAGGAAGCAGCCGCUCCUGGGCCUUGCAGCCAGCUGUCUACGGGGUGUUUACCGUAUAAAUCAGUUGUUCCGAGAGGAGCCUGAGAAUUCAGUUUUUAAUCAUCACUCCAGGAGAGUCUUACGAUGCAGCAGAAACUGAGUCACCAAGAGGGCCAGUGCCUCGCCCAAGGUCACAUGGAUGGCAAAGAAUUUCCGGGAUUCAAGCCCAGACAAUUUGGCUCCAGAAUCAGAUUUAUCAGCCUCUGUCGCUCAAGAAAAAAAAUCAAGUACUUUUCAUUAUAUGUUUAUUGAAAGUGAUGUUAAAGUGGUUUUGCAGGAGAAAACAUUAUUUUGUUCAUGUAAAUACAUUGUACUGCGUUCUGAAAUUUAUCAGGAAACGGUACAUCCAAACUACGUAUCAGUAUUUGGCUAAAUAUUUCAUUUGAGAUACAAGCACGUUGAAGAUGUGGGGUACGCUGCAGAGAGGGGGUGCAUCCGAUCCGACAGCCCAGCAAACCACGUCUGAUGUGCAGUCACACCGAAUGCUCACCAGGAGGGGUGAGCCACAAUAACGUGGGUGGGGAGGCAGUGACCGUGGAAGAAGCAAAGCCACUCCGGGGCAGCCGUGCUUGAGAAUGCACACGUGCACACUGCCCACGCACCCCUCCCUCCGCCACAAAGCCCCAGCCUCCAGGGGUGUCCCUGGACAGGCAGACAGCCCUCCAGGAGCCCUGAGCGGGUCUCAGGGCCAGAGUGCCCUUUGCCGGUACAGAACAAGUCCACCGGGUCUCACAGGUGUCCUGUGGGACGGCAUCGACGGGUCCUGGGGGAGUGGUGCGAACCAGACCUUGAGGGGACACUGUUGGCACAGGCGACAGGAAGACGGGGGCCGUGGAACGUAAACUAACACCAGUUUAGGGAAAUGCCAGGCUCUGCAAUGUCAAAGAAGUCACACUGUGCCGAGAGCUCGGCCUUGAGACAGCACUCAGAUCUGAACAGAAGUCCCUCCGAGCUGGGCCACAAGUUGGGUCCCAGACUGGGCUCCAAGCUGAAGUUCGGCACACCCCAAAGUGGGUCUCUCGCGUCUCACAGAGAGAAGGGUGUUUCUCUUUUGCAAUCGAGCCUCUGUUUCCCAUCUCGGGCAUCGGUCAGGACAGGCCGGGUUCUGCUGCAGUAACAAGCAAUCCUCAAGUCUCACGUGCCGCGACGACGCGAGGCCACUUCUCACACACGCCACGUGUCCCCGACCAGACGCCACGGGACCAGCAUUCAGAGAGCAGCUCGAAUGUCCCGACGGCUGUGCCGAAGAGCGGGGGAGAGCCUAGGAGGGCCUCGUACUGGCCGUUAAGUGCCCAGCCUAGACGUGGCACCUGCCACUUCCACUCUCACGUACUGGGUGGAAAGUAUCACGCAAACUCCGCAGGCAGAACAGCGCGGGUAGGAGCGGACUUCCGUGUACUUUGGUGAAAACGCCAUGAUCUGCACAGCAACCCUCCAACCAAUCAGGAGUUCGCUCCAAACUCACCCCGACUCCCAGAUACCAGGCUGUGCAGGGUAGUGAGGCAUGACCUUUAUCACAUCAGAAUUCAGGGGCGCCUGGGGGGCUCAGUCAGACAAGCGUCCGACUCCGGCUCAGGUCAUGAUCUCGCGGUUCGUGGGUUCGAGC